rnacentral:rRNA from 1 species
GCUGGCGGCGUGCCUAUACAUGCAAGUCGAACGCUUCUUUCCUCCCGAUGCUUGCACUCAAUUGGAAAGAGGAGUGGCGGACGGGUGAGUAACACGUGGGUAACCUACCCAUCAGAGGGGGAUAACACUUGGAAACAGGUGCUAAUACCGCAUAACAGUUUAUGCCGCAUGGCAUAAGAGUGAAAGGCGCUUUCGGGUGUCGCUGAUGGAUGGACCCGCGGUGCAUUAGCUAGUUGGUGAGGUAACGGCUCACCAAGGCCACGAUGCAUAGCCGACCUGAGAGGGUGAUCGGCCACACUGGGACUGAGACACGGCCCAGACUCCUACGGGAGGCAGCAGUAGGGAAUCUUCGGCAAUGGACGAAAGUCUUGACCGAGCAACGCCGCGUGAGUGAAGAAGGUUUUCGGAUCGUAAAACUCUGUUGUUAGAGAAGAACAAGGACGUUAGUAACUGAACGUCCCCUGACGGUAUCUAACCAGAAAGCCACGGCUAACUACGUGCCAGCAGCCCGCGGUAAUACGUAGGUGGCAAGCGUUGUCCGGAUUUAUUGGGCGUAAAGCGAGCGCAGGCGGUUUCUUAAGUCUGAUGUGAAAGCCCCCGGCUCAACCGGGGAGGGUCAUUGGAAACUGGGAGACUUGAGUGCAGAAGAGGAGAGUGGAAUUCCAUGUGUAGCGGUGAAAUGCGUAGAUAUAUGGAGGAACACCAGUGGCGAAGGCGGCUCUCUGGUCUGUAACUGACGCUGAGGCUCGAAAGCGGGGGAGCAAAC